rnacentral:rRNA from 2 species
GGGUUGUGAGGUUAAGCGACUAAGCGUACACGGUGGAUGCCCUGGCAGUCAGAGGCGAUGAAGGACGUGCUAAUCUGCGAAAAGCGUCGGUAAGGUGAUAUGAACCGUUAUAACCGGCGAUGUCCGAAUGGGGAAACCCAGUGCAAUUCGUUGCACUAUCGUUAACUGAAUACAUAGGUUAACGAGGCGAACCGGGGGAACUGAAACAUCUAAGUACCCCGAGGAAAAGAAAUCAACCGAGAUUCCCCCAGUAGCGGCGAGCGAACGGGGAGCAGCCCAGAGUCUGAAUCAGCUUGUGUGUUAGUGGAACGGUCUGGAAAGUCCGACGGUACAGGGUGAUAGUCCCGUACACCAAAAUGCACAGGUUGUGAACUCGAAGAGUAGGGCGGGACACGUGGUAUCCUGUCUGAAUAUGGGGGGACCAUCCUCCAAGGCUAAAUACUCCUGACUGACCGAUAGUGAACCAGUACCGUGAGGGAAAGGCGAAAAGAACCCCGGCGAGGGGAGUGAAAAAGAACCUGAAACCGUGUACGUACAAGCAGUGGGAGCACCUUCGGGUGUGACUGCGUACCUUUUGUAUAAUGGGUCAGCGACUUAUAUUCUGUAGCAAGGUUAACCGUAUAGGGGAGCCGCAGGGAAACCGAGUCUUAACUGGGCGUUAAGUUGCAGGGUAUAGACCCGAAACCCGGUGAUCUAGCCAUGGGCAGGUUGAAGGUUGGGUAACACUAACUGGAGGACCGAACCGACUAAUGUUGAAAAAUUAGCGGAUGACUUGUGGCUGGGGGUGAAAGGCCAAUCAAACCGGGAGAUAGCUGGUUCUCCCCGAAAGCUAUUUAGGUAGCGCCUCGUGAAUUCAUCUUCGGGGGUAGAGCACUGUUUCGGCUAGGGGGUCAUCCCGACUUACCAACCCGAUGCAAACUACGAAUACCGAAGAAUGUUAUCACGGGAGACACACGGCGGGUGCUAACGUCCGUCGUGAAGAGGGAAACAACCCAGACCGCCAGCUAAGGUCCCAAAGUCAUGGUUAAGUGGGAAACGAUGUGGGAAGGCACAGACAGCCAGGAUGUUGGCUUAGAAGCAGCCAUCAUUUAAAGAAAGCGUAAUAGCUCACUGGUCGAGUCGGCCUGCGCGGAAGAUGUAACGGGGCUAAACCAUGCACCGAAGCUGCGGCAGCGACACUAUGUGUUGUUGGGUAGGGGAGCGUUCUGUAAGCCUGCGAAGGUGACCUGUGAGGGUUGCUGGAGGUAUCAGAAGUGCGAAUGCUGACAUAAGUAACGAUAAAGCGGGUGAAAAGCCCGCUCGCCGGAAGACCAAGGGUUCCUGUCCAACGUUAAUCGGGGCAGGGUGAGUCGACCCCUAAGGCGAGGCCGAAAGGCGUAGUCGAUGGGAAACAGGUUAAUAUUCCUGUACUUGGUGUUACUGCGAAGGGGGGACGGAGAAGGCUAUGUUAGCCGGGCGACGGUUGUCCCGGUUUAAGCAUGUAGGCUGGUUGUCCAGGCAAAUCCGGAUAAUCAAGGCUGAGGUGUGAUGACGAGGCACUACGGUGCUGAAGUAACAAAUGCCCUGCUUCCAGGAAAAGCCUCUAAGCAUCAGGUAACAUCAAAUCGUACCCCAAACCGACACAGGUGGUCAGGUAGAGAAUACCAAGGCGCUUGAGAGAACUCGGGUGAAGGAACUAGGCAAAAUGGUGCCGUAACUUCGGGAGAAGGCACGCUGGUGUGUAGGUGAAGUCCCUGCGGAUGGAGCUGAGACCAGUCGAAGAUACCAGCUGGCUGCAACUGUUUAUUAAAAACACAGCACUGUGCAAACACGAAAGUGGACGUAUACGGUGUGACGCCUGCCCGGUGCCGGAAGGUUAAUUGAUGGGGUUAUCCGUAAGGAGAAGCUCUUGAUCGAAGCCCCGGUAAACGGCGGCCGUAACUAUAACGGUCCUAAGGUAGCGAAAUUCCUUGUCGGGUAAGUUCCGACCUGCACGAAUGGCGUAAUGAUGGCCAGGCUGUCUCCACCCGAGACUCAGUGAAAUUGAACUCGCUGUGAAGAUGCAGUGUACCCGCGGCAAGACGGAAAGACCCCGUGAACCUUUACUAUAGCUUGACACUGAACAUUGAGCCUUGAUGUGUAGGAUAGGUGGGAGGCUUUGAAGCGUGGACGCCAGUCUGCGUGGAGCCAACCUUGAAAUACCACCCUUUAAUGUUUGAUGUUCUAACGUUGGCCCCUUACCGGGGUUGCGGACAGUGUCUGGUGGGUAGUUUGACUGGGGCGGUCUCCUCCCAAAGCGUAACGGAGGAGCACGAAGGUUAGCUAAUCCUGGUCGGACAUCAGGAGGUUAGUGCAAUGGCAUAAGCUAGCUUGACUGCGAGCGUGACGGCGCGAGCAGGUGCGAAAGCAGGUCAUAGUGAUCCGGUGGUUCUGAAUGGAAGGGCCAUCGCUCAACGGAUAAAAGGUACUCCGGGGAUAACAGGCUGAUACCGCCCAAGAGUUCAUAUCGACGGCGGUGUUUGGCACCUCGAUGUCGGCUCAUCACAUCCUGGGGCUGAAGUAGGUCCCAAGGGUAUGGCUGUUCGCCAUUUAAAGUGGUACGCGAGCUGGGUUUAGAACGUCGUGAGACAGUUCGGUCCCUAUCUGCCGUGGGCGCUGGAGAAUUGAGGGGGGCUGCUCCUAGUACGAGAGGACCGGAGUGGACGCAUCACUGGUGUUCGGGUUGUCAUGCCAAUGGCACUGCCCGGUAGCUAAAUGCGGAAGAGAUAAGUGCUGAAAGCAUCUAAGCACGAAACUUGCCCCGAGAUGAGUUCUCCCUGAGACUUUAAGUCUCCUGAAGGAACGUUAAAGACGAUGACGUUGAUAGGCCGGGUGUGUAAGCGCAGCGAUGCGUUGAGCUAACCGGUACUAAUGAACCGUGAGGCUUAACCUUACAACGCCGAAG